AGGAUGAUAGCCGUUAGGAGUCAUACCGGUAGAAAACUUUUUUUAUCGCUAGUACGACCUGCCUUGAUCCUAUUUCGGACAGGGACAGAAGG
rnacentral:ncRNA from 2 species